CCUACGGGAGACAGCAGUGAGGAAUAUUGGUCAAUGGGCUAAGGCCUGAACCAGCCAAGUCGCGUGAGGGAAGACGGUCCUAUGGAUUGUAAACCUCUUUUGUCGGGGAGCAACGAGGCCACGUGUGGCCGAAGUGAGAGUACCCGAAGAAAAAGCAUCGGCUAACUCCGUGCCAGCAGCCGCGGUAAUACGGAGGAUGCGAGCGUUAUCCGGAUUUAUUGGGUUUAAAGGGUGCGUAGGCGGAACAUUAAGUCAGCGGUAAAAUCGAGGGGCUCAACCCCUUUAAGCCGUUGAAACUGGUGAUCUUGAGUGGGCGAGAAGUAUGCGGAAUUCCUAGUGUAGCGGUGAAAUGCGUAGAUAUUAGGAGGAACACCAGUGGCGAAGGCGGCUUACUGGACUGUAACUGACACUGAGGCACGAAAGCGUGGGGAGCAAACAGGAUUAGAUACCCUUGUAGUC
rnacentral:rRNA from 1 species